GACGAACGCUGGCGGCGUGCCUAAUACAUGCAAGUAGAACGCUGAAGAGAGGAGCUUGCUCUUCUUGGAUGAGUUGCGAACGGGUGAGUAACGCGUAGGUAACCUGCCUGGUAGCGGGGGAUAACUAUUGGAAACGAUAGCUAAUACCGCAUAAAAUUGAUUAUUGCAUGAUAAUUAAUUGAAAGAUGCAACUGCAUCACUACCAGAUGGACCUGCGUUGUAUUAGCUAGUUGGUGAGGUAACGGCUCACCAAGGCGACGAUACAUAGCCGACCUGAGAGGGUGAUCGGCCACACUGGGACUGAGACACGGCCCAGACUCCUACGGGAGGCAGCAGUAGGGAAUCUUCGGCAAUAGGGGGAACCCUGACCGAGCAACGCCGCGUGAGUGAAGAAGGUUUUCGGAUCGUAAAGCUCUGUUGUAAGAGAAGAACGGGUGUGAGAGUGGAAAGUUCACACUGUGACGGUACCUUACCAGAAAGGGACGGCUAACUACGUG
rnacentral:rRNA from 1 species